rnacentral:rRNA from 1 species
UACGUAGGGGGCUAGCGUUGUCCGGAAUCAUUGGGCGUAAAGCGCGUGUAGGCGGUCCGGUAAGUCCGCUGUGAAAGUCGGGGGCUCAACCCUCGAAUGCCGGUGGAUACUGUCGGGCUAGAGUGCGGAAGAGGCGAGUGGAAUUGCAGGUGUAGCGGUGAAAUGCGUAGAUAUCUGCAGGAACACCCGUGGCGAAAGCGGCGCGCUGGACCACUACUGACGCUGAGGAACGAAAGCUAGGGGAGCAAACAGG